CCUGGCUGAAGUCGGACGCUUAACCGACUGCGCCACCCAGGCGCCCCAAUCCACUGAAUUUCAAACUGUCUUUGGGCAUCUUGGGCUUGCUUGCGUAUAGUGGGAUCAAGGUAAAAAUAUGGACAUACGAUUUACCCUAAAUCGUAAUUAUAUGCCCCCGAGAAGCAGCAAGAUGGUACUAUGGAAGGGAGGACGACUACUUUGGAUUGCACUGUCUGUAUGAAGCCGUGACUAAGUUACCUAAUUUCUUUGGACGCCUUUCAUUUUACAGAAGAUGAAGAUUUUUUGACUAGAUAAUCUUUCAGAUCUACUCCAAUUGCAAAAUACAGAAAAAGUACAAUAAGGAACGGAGGAGAUUAGCUACAGUGCCACCAACAAAGACAGCUAAUGUUGGACAUGUUUCUUUACAAGUAUUGUAUACAUUUUAUGCACUUUCCUAGCUUGCUUUUUUAGCAUACUAUUUAUCAGAAACACAUGCCAUAAAAACUUUGUAAACAUUAUUUCAAUGGCUACAUAAAAUUAUAUUAUAUGGAUGUAUUUAA